rnacentral:misc_RNA from 1 species
AAACAUCAUAAUAAACUUGAUUGAAGUAUAUAGAAGUAGAUUGGUGUAGUCUAGUUAUGUCCCAAAAGCAUAAAACAGAAACACCACAAAAGCAUUCAAAACAGUGGAUCAAAGAAAGAAACAAACAUUAACACAACAAAGUUGGAUGAAUGCAUCAGAAACAACCAACCAAUGGGCGUCCCAACCUUUUAUUUAGUACCAAUUUCAGAACGCCGAUCAAUCCAUUCACCACACUCACUCAUCAUCAUAGUUCCGGCGGUGGUGGUGGCGGCGGCCCUGCUUUUCCUCCUCGUCGGAAUCCCCACCGUAUUU